UACCAGCACCCGAGUGGUCGGGACGUUUAUUGGCCUAAAGCAUCCGUAGCCGGUUCUACAAGUCUUCCGUUAAAUCCAACUGCUUAACAGGUGGGACUGCCGGAAGAUACUAUAGAGCUAGGAGGCGGGAGAGGCAAGCGGUACUCGAUGGGUAGGGGUAAAAUCCGUUGAUCCAUUGAAGACCACCAGUGGCGAAGGCGGCUUGCCAGAACGCGCUCGACGGUGAGGGAUGAAAGCUGGGGGAGCAAACCGG
rnacentral:rRNA from 1 species